AGUGGGCUUGGGCGUUGAGUGAAGUAUCCAGGUUGGGCGCUUCCAGCGCUUUCUGUGGCGGGGGAAUGAAGGCCUAGGUCAGGGAAUAGGAGGGUGUAUCGCCGCCGGAGUGCGGAACACCCUCGCCUUGAGGGUUCCCACAGUGACUUGCAAAAGUCUAGUGAGACCCGAGAAGGCUGAGGCGGGACACGAAGCAUGUGGUUCUUGUGGUUGCGACGCUCGUGCCGCCAUCUUGGGUGCUGGCGGCGGAAACCGGUACCCCAACUUCCCCUCGGUGCGAACCUGGAGAAGCCACCCCAGCUGUGAGGGACGGUUGCGCCUCAUGGCCCAGGCAAGGGUACCUUCGCUGGAGCAGUACCGCGGACGGAUAUCAUGAGGGUGGCGGGACGUUGGCGGAACGUUGGCGGAACGUUGGCGGUGUGAGAGUUUACUCCCAGCAUCACUUGGGGAGCUUGCUAAGCUACGAAUUCCGAGGUCCCACUGGAGAGUCUGAUUUAAUGACCCUGGAGUGGCGGCCGGAUAACCUGCCUGCUGGGGUGAUUUUAACGCAGCUGAUGCGAAGACCCCAUUUAGGGAAUCAUUGGGUUGGCGUUUGCAAUGCGUUCCUCCCAGCUAUAGGACAAAGAGGUGUCAACUCAACUCUGUCUUCUUAGAAGAGCCCAUUAUUUAUAGGCUGGACUGGAACUCCUGGACUCAAGCGAUCUUCCCAUUUAUCAGGGACUACUGACGCAUGUCUCCCAAUAAAUACCUGAGUAUAAACAACA